CUGCUGGACUUCGGAGCGAAAUCCAAAGCGCUUCCCUCAGUCGCGUGAAACACCUUGUCAGACUCAGGCUCGGCUGGCUCAGGGCGGCGCCCGCCGCCUGCUCCUCGGAGGUGGCGUUACCAGUUGUGACAGUUCGUCCAAAUCUCUGUUUCUGGGGCUCAGAAACGCCUGAAUAUCUUUUUGAGCAAUCCACGAGUCGGAGUCAAAGAGGAAGUCUCAAAAUUAAAAAAAAAAAAAAGAAUGAAAAUGCAAAUGCCACAGUGAAGUUUGUGGAGUGCAGCUGAAGCUGUGCCUAGAGGGAAAGCUACAGCACAGAAGGCUAAUAUGAGAAGAGCUGCCUCACAUCAGGGAUAUAAACUCACAGCCCCAAACCCAGAAAAAGAAGUAUAAAGUAAACUCAAAGUAAGGAGAAGGAAAAAAACACUAAAUCUAUGAGUAGAAUCAGUGUAGCUGACCCUCAGACUCCACAGAUUGGCGCCAGGAGCCCCCUUGGAGACCCAAACACCCAGAUGCUCAAGUCCGUUACAUAAAAUGGUUCGGUGUUUGCAUAGGAGCUGAGCACCACCUCCUGAAUCAUCUCUAGAUGACGUGUACUACCUAAUUCAGUAUAAACGCUGGCCAAUAGUUGUUACUGUAUUGUUUGAGGAAUAGUGACAAGACAAAGUCUACACAAGUGCAAUAGAUUAAAUUACACUGAGAAGUUGGUCGAACUCUUGGAUAGGAAUCCUUGGACACGGAGGGCUGGCUGUACCCGAGAUGAAAAUGGGAAAGCGACCCAGCCACUUGAGAUAGCAUUUUCUGAAGGGUCACUGCACAAAUCCCAGGCCUUGGCUUCUGAGCUCUUUGCUCUCAAGGAAGGUGCUUGAUGAGGCAGAGCAACAAAUCUUGUGAUUCCUCUGUGACCUUGGGGGCAAACUGAGCCUCCAGGGCCUCCCCACUUUCCCUUCGGUUCGUGCACCAGACACACUGCCGUGGUGGAGCCCAAGGCGGAGUGUCCCAGGCACAACAAUGAUAUUUCUGGGCUCAUGGGCCACAAAUGGGAAGUCAGGGCAGCACAGGCCUCAGAGAUAGGUGAUCCAAGGCCUCCAGCCUCAUUGAGGUGGUACCUUUAUCCUUCUUCCUGAAUCUCCAAGAGCCAGAUGGUAUAGCUCUAAUGCGCUCUUGGCUCUACCUUGGAGCUGUGGCAAAGGAGAAAGGGCUCCUUAACCAGCUUCUAUAGAAAAAUCUUGGGCUGUGAUCUGAUUGGUUCUGCUUGAGUCAUGUGAUCACAGCCAGGCCACUCCCGGCGGAGCAGAGGCGGGGUCUGUCCUCCAGGGAGCUGAGCAGAAACCUAGCAGCCCAGCUCCUGAGCUGGGACACCUGCUGUGCAUGGGGCCUUGACUGCGCCUGGGCACAGGAGUCAGGAGGACUCCUCAGGAGCACCCUGGAGCAGGCCCACACAUAUGUGGGGAAGGCUGGAUCACCCUAGUAUCACGAUUGCUGCAAUGAACCCAGCAAAAUAAUAGGAAACAGGUACUCUGAGUCCCUCACCCCCACAUGGUUCCCUUCCCUGCCAUGGCUAUGGCCACGGAGGAGUCCUCAUCCGGCCUGGUCCUUGGUCCAUGUCCUGGGCAUCCUUGUGUCCAGCUGUCCACACUAGGCCCCUUCCUGCCGCAGAAGCCCGAGCCUUUGCUUCUACCCUUGCCUCUCAGGAAAGCUGCUUCAAAUGAUGUGUGUAGACACAUAAACCCAUGCAGAAGUGUGAACAGAAUGUGAUUUUAUAAUCUGUUGUUUAUUCAUAUUACUCAUAUUCUAUAAAAUACUUAUACAGUAUAUAAAUGUACCUAUUAGUAUAGACAGCAAAUUAGAGAGAAAUUAAUAUACAGUUUGAGAGGGACUUGGCCCUCAAGGAAGUCAGCACAAAAAUAAAGACAUGAGAAUUGUGGCUGGAGGCAAAUCUGAAGAAGGCCAGGCCUCUCAGGAUGGAGAUGCAAUAGGCAGCCCUGCAUUUCUACCCAGAGAUACAGCAACUCGAGGUUAGACUGUAACUAGCACCAAGUGGUCCAGUGUGCCCAGCAGACACCAGACACAUAGGUGGGAACCAGUACACCUGGACCCACACUCCUCUGCCUUUCCAGGAAGGUCUUGCUACGUGACUCAUUUCCCUACUGGAUCAGCAUUAGCUAAGUGGCUAUUCCUGUACUCCUACGGUUGAUUAUUGUUUGUCCCACAUCGUACCCACUUUGUGACUCUGCUGUAUAAAUUACCCUGACAAAGGGCCUUGGUGGCUGCCCACUUGGCACCCCUCCUGGAAAUUCAGGAGCUAUUCUUUCCUUUAUUUCCAAUAAAACUCUCCUGACUUCCUCCUUUGCUUUAUGACUUCAUUCCUGAGGUCCUGAGACCAUGAACUUGGGACAUCUGACAGCAGUCAGGUCAGGAGUUAUUUUUCCUAUACCACUGUCACUAUCGUUCUUUCAUUCAUAUGUCUUGUUUUCUUCCUUUUCCUCUUCUUCUUUUCCUAUUUGUAGCCCUGGGAAUUAACCUAGCUGCAUCCUUAGCCCUUUUUAAAUUUUUUUAUUUUGAAACAUUUUCUCCCUAAGUCACUAAAUUGCCCAGGCUAGGCUUGAACUUGCAAUCAUCCUGCCUCAGCUUCCCAGAGUGCUGGCAUUACAGGUGUGCACCACUCUGCCUGGCUUCGUAUGCCUUAUUUUCUAAUUAAAACUUGUAAAAUGUUACAGUAAAGUUCCUUAUUACUCUA